CUACGGGUGGCUGCAGUAAGGAAUCUUCCGCAAUGGGCGAAAGCCUGACGGAGCGACACCGCGUGAGGGAUGAAGGCUCUAGGGUUGUAAACUUCUUUUCUGAGGGAAUAAAUCUGAAUUUACCUCAGGAAUAAGCACCGGCUAACUACGUGCCAGCAGCCGCGGUAAUACGUAGGGUGCGAGCGUUAUCCGGAAUCAUUGGGCGUAAAGCGUCCGCAGGUGGUAAAUCAAGUCUGAAGUAAAAUCUCCGAGCUCAACUCGGAAAGCGUUUCGGAAACUGAUUUACUAGAGGAAUGCAGAGGUAAGUGGAAUUCGGUAAGUAGGGGUUAAAUCCGUAGAUCUACCGAGGAACACCAAAAGCGAAGGCAGCUUACCGGGCAUCUCCUGACACUCAUGGACGAAAGCGUGGGUAGCGAAACGGAUUAGAUACCCUAGUAGUC
rnacentral:rRNA from 1 species